UUCAACUCCACCUCACGUUGAGCGUACUCUACCUCAACUAGCAAAUGCGUACAUCCCACUAUGUCUUCAACCUUGAAACUCCACCUCAACAGGUAGAUCAUGAGUAUUCUUACCACCGCCUCUCCAGGCUGAUGUUGAGUGUUUAACGUCUCUCCAGACGAACACCGCUCCACUAGGCAUCAAUCCCAAGGUGAGACACAUCACCUUCUUCAUCCUCCAAACAACACCACACCAUCAGAGC
rnacentral:lncRNA from 1 species